rnacentral:rRNA from 1 species
UGGGGAAUAUUGGACAAUGGACGCAAGUCUGAUCCAGCAAUGCCGCGUGUGUGAAGAAGGCCUUAGGGUUGUAAAGCACUUUCACCCGCGAAGAUGAUGACGGUAGCGGGAGAAGAAGCCCCGGCUAACUCUGUGCCAGCAGCCGCGGUAAUACAGAGGGGGCAAGCGUUGUCCGGACUUACUGGGCGUAAAGCGCACGCAGGUGGUAACGCAAGUGGGGUGUGAAAGCCGCCAGCUCAACUGGCGGAGGCCAUCCCAAACUGCGUCACUUGAGGCCUGUAGAGGUAUGUGGAAUUGCCGGUGUAGUGGUGAAAUGCGUAGAGAUCGGCAGGAACACCCAGGGGGAAGCCAGCAUACUGGACAGGUCCUGACACUCAGGUGCGACAGCGUGGGGAGCGAACCGGAUUAGAUACCCGUGUAGUCC